ACGCCCCGGGGCGGGUGAGCCCUGCCCAGUGAUAUAUAUUUAACGGCCGCAGUACCCUGACUGUGCUAAGGUAGCGUAAUCAAUUGGCUCUUAAUUGGAGUCGUGUAUGAAUGGGUGACCGGGAAACAACUGUCUCAUCCGCUGGUUAAUUUUAAGUUGCUAACGGGGUGAAAAUUCCCCGGCUAGGAAAAAAGACGAGAAGACCCUAGGAGUUUUACCCUGUCUACUAUUAGGUAUGAUCGGGUUUUGCUGGGGCGGCAUAGAGGCAGCUUAAACCCUCUAUUAUUUAUUUUUAAUAUGACAUUUUUUAGGUGAAAAUUUAACUACCCUAGGGAUAACAGCAUAAUUUUUUAAAAGUUUGUGACCUCGAUGUUGGACUAGGGACCUUAUGGCUAGCAGCCAGAGGGGCUGCUCGGUUCGCCUCAGUU
rnacentral:rRNA from 1 species